rnacentral:tRNA from 1 species
CUGGGUGUGGCUCAGCUUGGUAGAGCGCCACGUUGGGGACGUGGAGGCCGCUGGUUCAAAUCCAGUCACUCAGACCA